rnacentral:rRNA from 1 species
CCUACGGGCGGCUGCAGUGGGGAAUAUUGCACAAUGGGCGCAAGCCUGAUGCAGCCAUGCCGCGUGUGUGAAGAAGGCCUUCGGGUUGUAAAGCACUUUCAGCGGGGAGGAAGGCGUUAAGGUUAAUAACCUUGGCGAUUGACGUUACCCGCAGAAGAAGCACCGGCUAACUCCGUGCCAGCAGCCGCGGUAAUACGGAGGGUGCAAGCGUUAAUCGGAAUUACUGGGCGUAAAGCGCACGCAGGCGGUCUGUCAAGUCGGAUGUGAAAUCCCCGGGCUCAACCUGGGAACUGCAUUCGAAACUGGCAGGCUAGAGUCUUGUAGAGGGGGGUAGAAUUCCAGGUGUAGCGGUGAAAUGCGUAGAGAUCUGGAGGAAGACCGGUGGCGAAGGCGGCCCCCUGGACAAAGACUGACGCUCAGGUGCGAAAGCGUGGGGAGCAAACAGGAUUAGAUACCCCGGUAGUC